ensembl:lincRNA
GUCCAAGAUGGUCCAUUAUACCAGACUCUACAUUUUUGCAUAAGUAAACUUUCCUCUUAUAAAUUUCACCAGUGUACUUGAUAUGUAAUGUAUCCUGAUGUACAGGUUCUCUGCUGGAGGAGAAAUGAACUAGAACUCUGCGUUUGGAGAUAGAAGACAGGACUUCAUAAAAGACUUUACGG